AGGGCUGGCCUCCAGUAGCCCAGUUUUCAUCAAUUGUGUGAAUAGCUUCAGUGUGUCUGAUGGCAAAUGGCCUAGUAGUGAGGAGAAAUAAAAUACAACUAUUCUGUCCCUUUUGCCCUCCACCCUUCCUCAAGUUUAGUGUUGUUUUUCUCCAGUCCCUGAAGGUUGCCCUACCAUGAAGCAGGCUGAGAUGGUCACCUCAGGCAGCAGAUUUGCUCUGCUCCUCCUCCCAAUAUAUUCAUCACUGGCCCCCUUCCUCCCUCUCCAGCUUUCAGAUGGAGAAGCGAGCACAUCAGCUGUGUCUAAUGUGCUCUCCCUCCUCUUACUGAGAGCAAGGCUCAAGAGGGGUGGCAGCGGUGGCAACCCCCCCCCCCCACACACACACCCAAAAGUGGCUUGCCCCCACCCCUCCAUUUCAGUUUCAGAAAUGUGAAAUGUGGGGCACAGUUCACCCACCCAUGGAUGCACUUUGCUCCUUCUGUGCUCCCUUUAAUUCUUUUCUGGUGCCACUGACUGCGAGCAAAAGGAUGAGAAGGAGACGAGAUACCUCAAUCAUCACUAGAGUGGGUGGACAGGGAGCAGCAGAUAUGUGGUUGUGCAACAUUCUUUAUGUUCCGAUUGCCUUGAGCCCCCACAUCAUUUUAAAAAACACUUGAGGGGACUGGACAAUUGGAGUUUAUGUCGUAUGGAUCUCCCAGUGGCAAUAUAUGCUGUAUAUAUAAUUUCAGCAAAAAAACCCAAUCAAAUUUCAUGAAACACAGUGGGCUUAUAACCCUGUAAGUGGAUUUAUAACCCCAGGGCUGUCUUCAGCCUCACUACACACCUGCUCUGAAUAUAUCCUUUCCUUUUCCAAUCCACUGGCAACAUGUUUUGGCUGGCACUGGCAACGAUGCAUUGAACACUGAAUAAAAUUGUGUUCAUGGAGGAAAGAGUGAGGAUGAGUCAGAUACAAGUGUUACAUCAGUAACACUUCCUUUCCUGUGAAUGAUGCCACAGUAAGUAGGACUGCAACACCUGAACUUUCAAAUUGAAUCAAAGAAUUGUCUUAGUCUGUUUACUAUACAGUUCUUUCCUUGUUGUGAAUACAAACCAAUAUAUCCAGGAAGAGAUGACAAAGAUUGUCUGCAGAGUGACUGUGUGACAUUUCAAGGCAUAGCAAAUGUUCUGAGCAAAUAGAAUAAAUCCACAUUGUUCCAUCCGCUAACCUGUAUCUCCACUGUUAUACAACACUAGAUAAGAACACAGGAACAGCAAUGUUGGAUCAGGCCCAAGGCCUAUUUAGUCCAGCAUUCUGUUUCCUACAGUGGCCCACCAUAUGCCUCUGGGAAGCUCACAGGCAAGAGGUGAGGGCACACCCUCUCUCCUGUUGUUGCUCCCCUGCAACUGGUAUUCAGAGGCAUCUUGCCUCUGUGGCUGGAGGUGGCCUGAAAGUUAGAUACCUCUAUCACAUCCCUGAGGGUCUCAUCAUGGAGCACUCGCUCCGUUAACCUCAUUUAAAGGGAGGGGGAGAUAGGCAGGCUAGCCACCUUGGGAGCACUGGGCUCACCUGCAAGCCCGGUGGUUCCCACGAUAACUGGGAAGCAAGCUAAGCUCCCUUGGCCUGCUUCCCAGUGAUCGUGGGAAUAGCCUCAGUAAAAGAUCCAUGGAAAGGUAGACAGGGUAACUGAAAGGGCAGAGAACAAUGGCCUCCCAAGACACCCAGUUUUCCUUAAUUAGAUUCCCAAAUUUCUAGGAAGAUGGCUCAUGCCAGCGUUUGUCAGGAUCCUGUUCUUACUGCUGCCACUGAUAACAGCACAAAGAUUACAUUUGUAAAGAAGAAUCCUUGUGUCCGGAAGGAAGAGUGUAGGGUUGAGACAGGCCAGGGCAGAGAGCCAAGGCCAGGUUGGCACAAAGCAGAUGCACUGAUCCAAUGAUAAGAGCAAAGGGUUGGUGAUGAAAGGUGUGCCGGUUAUAAUCAAAACGCAGUGACAGAGCAGCCCUGGGGGCAGCUGGGAACACGUUGCAACUGAAGUGCUGUAGGAGGGAAGUGCAAAGGUUGCAAGAAGGCCCAGAUUAAAACUCCUUUUAGGGCAAGCCUGAAGGUGUGCAAGCAACGAGAUGUGAAUUGAGCUCUCACUUUUUAAAAUGAAAAAUGCACUCCUGGGAGGGAAGAGUCCUGAUCAGCACAGCAAUACAGAGGCAGAGAGGUUUAAGCUUCCCCCCCAUGCUGUUUUCUUGGUUGAAAUCCCUCACUGAAGCAACUAUUUGGCCCACAGGGCAAGAUAUACAGUAUCAUAUAUAUAUAUACCUCCUGUUGCUUUCACUAUUACUUGCCUACAAACUGAAGUUGAAUCCAAACAAGACAGAGGUACUCAUGGAGGGAGGCUGGAACUUAGGAAGGGGUUAGAUCUUUCUUUUCUGGAUGGUGUUACAUUCCCCCUGAAAGUUCAGGUACGUAGCUUCGGAGUACUUCUGGACCCAAAGUUCUCCCUGAUAUCUUGGGUUGAGGCAGUGGCCAGGAGUGCUUUUUAUCUGCUUUGGCUGAUAACGCCAGCUACAUCUAUUUCUCGAGACAAACAACCUUAAAACAACGGUGCAGAUGCUGGUGUUAUCCAGGCUUGACUGCUGCAAUGAACUCCACAUUGAGCUGCCCUUGUACGUAGUUUGGAAACUGAGACUGGUGCAAAACGUGGCAGCCAAGUUGAUCUCUGGGGGCCACCUGCAGAGACCACAUUAUUCCUAUUUGUAAUGAACUAUGCUGGUUGCCAAUUAGUUUCCAGGCAAAAUACAAAGUGCUGAUUAUUACCUAUAAAGCCCUCAACUAUUUGGACCCAGGGCAUUUAAAAGAGUGCCACCUCCUUCAUGAACCUGCCACCUAUAAAGAUUAUCAGGGGAAGCUGAACCAGGCCAGUUUGAGUAAUUCGAUUGUGAACCACUUCGAGCUAGUUUGUUGAACUGACCGGCUCAGCCGCUCGGUCAACUGCACCAAACAGUCCGUGCACACUCUUAGUGUGGGACAUUUACUACUGGUUCAGACAUUUGACCUCCCAAUAAUGGUAUACAUGUACUGGGAUACAGGAGUCAAUCUAAGAUUAUAUGCAUCCACCACUGCAUGCAGGAAUCUUUGCAUAAUCUGAGUAUCUAUACAUACAAAUGUUUUCAGUUUCCUGAUUUCUAAAAAAAUUAUGCUCCCAACAGGACUGAUUUCAUAUACAAGUGAUGGGUGCAUGUGAUUCAAGGAUCCAGCUCUAUCCAACUCUGUCUGCAUAUCUGUAAUCUGCUACUGAGAGAGCAAAUGUGAACCAUCCCACAGACUCCCAUGCAAUUGCACUGUCCAUAGGUACAAUGGUAUACACUCACCUGGAUCUUUUUUCUCAAAGAACCCAGAUAUGUAGAAAGGAUGAGAUAAUGACCAGGAGGUCGCUCUGAGAUGGUGUGGAAAAUAGCUUUGUUGAAAAAACUAAAUCAGUUGCUCCUAAGGAAGAGCUGUAAGACUUGAAAUGCAUUGGGCUAAUAAAUCAUUCUCUGUGUACCUCUGAGGGUUCCUUCUUUCGUCAAUGACUGGGAAGUGCCAGGAUGUGAAACUGUGUCUGGGCUGAUAAUAGAAAAUGCUUGUUACUUUCUAAAGAGAAACGAGCUUUUGUGUGACUAAACCAGCAAGCAGAAUACAAAUGGUGAUACUUAGGUGAACUUCACCUUCGAUGCCAAUAAAAUGUUGUCACUUCAUCGUUAGAUAGUAGUGAAGCAAUUCCUCUACAGCGAAGGGAAUGGACGUGGCAAGGAGAGAGGGGUGGAUCUGAAGAAGGACAUUGCUUGGAUUUGGAGCAAGUCACAGAUCUGCUUUGCAAACCCACUGUGUGUGUGUGUGUGUGUGUGUGUGUGUGUGUGUGUGUGUGUGCACGCGCGCACGUGCACUGGUGGCAGUGGAAAGUGCUGACAAAUUGUCCACAUCUGUUUGUCUGUUUUUUCUGGCACACUGAUUUAAUGAAAUUAAAUAAGUAAAUAAAAUUAUUUUAACAGCUUG